rnacentral:misc_RNA from 1 species
GGAUGAAGAACGCAGCGAAAUGCGAUACGUAAUGUGAAUUGCAAAUUCAGUGAAUCAUCGAGUCUUUGAACGCACAUUGCGCCCCCUGGUAUUCCGGGGGGCAUGCCUGUCCGAGCGUCAUUGCUGCCCUCAAGCACGGCUUGUGUGUUGGGCCCCGUCCUCCGAUUCCGGGGGACGGGCCCGAAAGGCAGCGGCGGCACCGCGUCCGGUCCUCGAGCGUAUGGGGCUUUGUCACCCGCUCUGUAGGCCCGGCCGGCGCUUGCCGAUCAACCCAAAUUUUUAUCCAGGUUGACCUCGGAUCAGGUAGGGAUACCCGCUGAACUUAAGCAUAUCAAUAAGCGGAGGA